rnacentral:lncRNA from 1 species
AGAAGAAAGAAGACUAUCGCUCUCAAGUCAACAGCUCAAGAAGAAGAAGAUACAGAAUAAUCAGAGAAUAACGAGGAAGAUGAGGAUUUGGCCCUAAUCAUCAAAAAAUUUAGAUGCUUCAUGAGGAGAAGGAGACAAAGGACCAAGAGAAGACCACCAGCUAAGAGGAAGCCGAGUAAAAAAAAGAACCCAUCAUUUGUUAUGAGUGCAAGAAGUCAGGCCACU